rnacentral:rRNA from 1 species
AUUGAACGCUGGCGGCAUGCCUUACACAUGCAAGUCGAACGGGAACAGGUCUUCGGAUGCUGACGAGUGGCGAACGGGUGAGUAAUACAUCGGAACGUGCCCGAUCGUGGGGGAUAACGAAGCGAAAGCUUUGCUAAUACCGCAUAAGGUCUACGGAUGAAAGCAGGGGACCGCAAGGCCUUGCGCGAACGGAGCGGCCGAUGGCAGAUUAGGUAGUGGGUGGGAUAAAAGCUUACCAAGCCGACGAUCUGUAGCUGGUCUGAGAGGACGACCAGCCACACUGGGACUGAGACACGGCCCAGACUCCUACGGGAGGCAGCAGUGGGGAAUUUUGGACAAUGGGCGAAAGCCUGAUCCAGCCAUGCCGCGUGCAGGAUGAAGGCCUUCGGGUUGUAAACUGCUUUUGUACGGAACGAAAAGACUCUUUCUAAUAAAGAGGGUCCAUGACGGUACCGUAAGAAUAAGCACCGGCUAACUACGUGCCAGCCGCCGCAGUAA